GCCCAGCUAGCUCAGUCUGUAGAGCCUGAGACUCUUAAUCUCAGGGUUGUGGGUUCAAGCCCUACGUUGGGCG
rnacentral:tRNA from 2 species